rnacentral:tRNA from 2 species
CGGAGUGUAGCGCAGCCUGGUUAGCGCACCUGGUUUGGGACCAGGGGGUCGGAGGUUCGAAUCCUCUCACUCCGACCA